rnacentral:lncRNA from 1 species
AGAGCACACCUAGAUUUUGAUGUAAACAGACGUUUGUCUGCUGCAGUUCAGUAAUAUUUGGUGAUAUUUCAGAAUUGUCAAUUCAGGACAUGGAGUUUCACAGGACAAUAUAAUGAAUUUGCUCAGGUAAGAACAUUUAUUUAUAUUUUUGACGGUGUUAUCAUUUAGUUGUCAUUUUGACAUAUCAAACAGAUCCGGAGACUAUUCAUUCACGUGGCGGUCGAUUUAUGGUUUGAAAUCUUGUUUUCAUUUGAUUAUAAAAAAUUUUUGGGUUCAAUUAUUUGUUUCAGUGUCCAUGCAGUUUUAAUGGUCUGUUUUAGAGUGACAACGUUUAAAUGGUCAGACAACGUACGUCCCAUUUAUUGACGCAGAUCUUCCCAAAUACCAGUUGUAAGGUUUAAUUUAACGUAUCGUACAACGGCCAAUAUAUAUAUGUUAUGUGGCAAGAAUUACGCAUUUGCGUUUAUAUAAGAUGUGGUUACCUUAACCGGAAGUUGAUGUUAAUUUCAUCGGAAAUUGGUGUUAGUUUUACCGGAAGUCCGUGUUUGAUUUACCGGAAGUGGCAUAUCAAUAUUAAAGUGAAAUAUUUUUUAAGUGAAUAUAUAGUGAGCCAUACAUCAUUGAUGUUACAAGUGUAUACAAUAUAAAAAAGAAGAUGUGGUAUGAUUGCAAAUGAGACAACUGUCCACAAGAGACCAAAAUGACACAGACAUUAACAACUAUAGGUCACCGUAGGCCUUCAACAAUGAGCAAAGCCCAUAUCGCAUAGUCAGCUAUAAAAGGCCCCGAUAAGACAAUGUAAAACAAUUCGAACGAGAAAACUAACGGCCUUAUUAAGAUAAAAAAUGAACGAAGAACAAAUAUGUAACACAUAAACAAACAACAACCACUGAAUUACAGGCACCUGACUUGGGACAGGCACAUACAUAAAUAAUGUGGCGGGGUUAAACAUGUUAGCGGGAUUCCAACCCUCCCCUAACCUGGGACAGUUGUAUAACAGUACAACAUAAGAACGAACUAUAAAAAUUAGAUGAAAAAGGCUUAACUCAUCAGAUGGACAAAAAUACAAGUGGACGUGGACGGGUACUUAUACAUCCCGACACAAAAAGACACAAAAACAGAUCUGAGAGUUCUCGCAGUUAUCUAACAGCUAGUUCAAAGCCACUAACAACUAACAAAAAAUCAUGCAUCUAAGGAUAAACUAUCAAUCCGUACACAUCCAACAUCCAAUGAAUUUAGUGUAAAGACGUCAUAAACAGCCAGAGAAAAACACGACCUUGUGCAAUGCCAAGUUACAAGUAUCGACAGAUUGUAGAUCCAUGAAUAUGUAUAUGUAUAUAACAUACUAGUAAUAUUUAGUUAGAUUUUUAUUUACUGAUAACAAAAUCAAUAUUUAUACCAAAUAAACAAUAGUCAAUGAUCUUAUUAAAGUGUUGAAUAGGUAGCCUUUUAGAAUAAGUUUAUUUAAAGGAGCGACAAGUUUACAUGGAUCAUUUCUAAAUUUACGGGCACGGUUAACAACAUUUCUGUAAAAAUGAGGAUGUACUAUCCCGUUUGAUAUAAGCUUUCUACAGCCACCAAACUUCAAAACCAAUUCUUUAUAUCUAUGGAGAAAUUUAGUAAAGUUUUUAAGUAAUUUAUGGUAACGAUAUUCCUGGUUUAAUAAUUUACCAGUAAUACAUAGAUUGCGUUCGUUAAAAUCAAAAACGUCACAACAGACACGGGCAUAGCGAACGCGCUAUGAAAUAUAAACACUACAAGAUGGUACCAAAGGAACAUCACCAUCUGAUAUAAAAAAAAGAUGUGGUGUGAUAACCAUGGAAAAUUAACAAUAGGGAACAAAAAAUCGUCUCUUUUGUCGUAAAUUUUAGUGUGGAGUUUCCCGUUUAUAACCGAAAUAUUUAAAUCCAGGAAAGGACAGUUAGUACCGAAUAAAUUUGAUUUAUUCAAAGAAAGUUCCUUGGGGUAAAUGUCAGCAGUAUAUUGAGGAAAUUCUUGAUUAUUAACGAAAAAUAUCAUCAAGAUAACGGUAGGUGUUGUUGAAUUUAUCUAUUAAAUGCAAUUUUGACGGGUCUUUAUAGUGCGGUGACAGAAUAGGAAAAAGAGCUUAAUUUCACUUCAUGGUAUACAGCUAAAAAUUGGCACAGUCCUAGAAAAAUUAUUUUACUUGAAUUUUAGAUUGGUCGUCAAAAAGUCGUAUUGUGCAGGUUAUUUUAUUUCAGCUUUAAGUCAGCAAAUUUGACUUCAAAUGCAAAUCAUUAGUGGCAUGCAGUUUGGCAUUUUAUUCAAAAGGUGCCGAGGAAUAUCUUUCUCUUUUGUUUUAUUCAAACAUCCGACAUAAUGUUCUAUGCAUUAGGCGAAAAAGAUAAUCCUAAAAGCCUUUUGAUGGCAAAUUAUGAGGGAAAAAACUACUGCUAACGGGGACAUUUUGUGCUUUUACCUGAUUCCAACAUCAUACAAAAAAAGCGCUGAUGAAUGGAUUAUAUCGUAUAUACUAUAAAGUUAUAAAACUAAAAUUUUUCUUUUCAUGUACACAUGUUUUUAUGAGGUAAAAUUGUUUAAAACGAUAUUUUUUAAACUUUCAAAAAUCUCUGCUGUUCAAUCAUUUAAUUUUAAAAAAAUUCGGAUAGUAGUGCCCUGUCCAAGAUUGGGCUGAAUACAUAGUUUCCCGUAAUGUUUUGGACUUGAUAUUACUGGUUUCUGUUGAUUUUUUAUUACUUUGUUGAAUUAUUUGAGUGUCUGUAAUUCUUUUUAAGGAUGUGUCAAUAUGAUUUUAUCUAUAUAAGAGGCAAAAUAAGUGUUUCGGUUGUUUAUUUAAAUAAUAGGGAUCCGGCAAAAUCCAAAAAAGAUCACAAAACAAGAAAGACUAUUGAACCUUGACUUUAAAAUUUCAAAGAAGCAAACAUUCAGUUUAAUCCCUUAAAUAGUGUUAUUUUCUUAAGUGCGGAAGUGGGAUAUUUGAUUUAUUUUACCACUUACAGUUAAUCAAGGUAUUUUGACACAGUUGAUUGGCGUAAUGAUGGAAUUAUACCCGACAAUUGCGAGGAUGACAUGUUGUGACUUUAGUUCAUUCAUAGAGGGACAUCUAUGGUUCAUUCUAUUUGUUUGAAAAUUGUUUAUAAUAAAAGUGGAUACGAAUAAUGCAUAAGUCUACAUAGCAUAAUGGUAUUUACAGUUCGCGCUACAAUUUGAAAUGCAGAAACUUUUCAAAGAUCUAAAGACAUAUAUUUUGCUUAGCUCUUUGAUUUCAAAUUCAGAUAUAUUGAAGAUUUGAUGUCUCUCUUUAGCCCACACAUCAUUCAGUCAGUACAUGUAUUUCCCAGUUAGUUUGUGAUAAAGGAUACUACAGAACUAAAAUAUUUGCUUCUUAUCUUGACCUUUUCUUUGAUAUUGAGACAGAUUAACGACUACAAACAAAAAUCUAUGAAAACUUUGGAGGGCGAUUUUAACUUUCCAAUUGUCAAUUUCCCCAUGUCUCAAUGUACUAAACUCCUCUGCGCCAUCGUAUAAUGUGCAUAUAUCUCAAUAUAUCUUCCGCUCGUGCAUGUUGACACAACAAACUGAACUUUUUUCGAAAUUUUUGAUUUUGUUUGAACAUAUCAACAUCAGUAAACUACUGUUGCCUCUAAUGGUUCUUGAGGCAUACAGAUUAAAUAGCAACCAGCUCCAGUCAAGAAAUCGAGGUUACGGUAUCCAAGGUUGUGCUAUGUGUUCUAUUGUUUGUCUGUGGGUGUUUUCCUUUUGUUUAGGCCAUGGCGUUGUAAGUUUAUUUUUUCAACUUAAGACCUUUAAGCCCCUCUGGCAUAGUUCGUCUUUCUUUCAUAUGCUUGCAUCUAUUGUGAAAAAAAACUACAACCAAGACAAAUUAUUUCAUUUCUAAAACAGAACAUUUAAGUACAGGCUGUCUAAUGCUAAUUUGUCAUACAGCCACGAUAAACCUUUACUACUGAUCUGUUGCCUUUAUUUUGUACCACCAGCAGUGCGAUAUAAAUGUUAACCCUACUUCAGAUAUCAAAUCAAUUAUACAGACCAGACUGUAGAACAUAACAACCAGGACAAUCGGAAAUAUUCCGCAGACUACAGUCAUGGGAUCAUGGAUAAUGUUUGCUGUCGAUCAGAGAUGGCUUUUUUCUUGACUUUUGUGUAGAGAUAUUUUGAGUUGCAAGCAGCAAAAUAAGACAUUUUUUCAAUACAUGGUUCUUUUGAGAUUUGUCCUAGGGGUGCUCUGAAGUUUCAGAUGUGUAUGGCUCCUUUUUAUAGGUUGAUAUGGCCAAAGUGUAUUUUGCAAUGAAAUGUUUUGAAAUUGAUGCCUUAUGAUGCUGGAAUAAAGUUCGCUAUAUGUAAUACACAGACCACCACUCUAUCGCAAUGCACAACACAUUAAAAAUGUCCGAAGUUUAACAUUCAUAUUCGCAAUAUUAUUAUAGGAUUCAUGACUUAAGAAUGUUGUCGUGUUCUUUUAACACUAUGGACCAAUACUGACGUUAUAGAUUUGUUAAACCUUCCACUUUAGGACGACAUCAAAAGUUCAAUGUAAGAUAAAAAAUACUUAAUUCAUAUAGUUUUUUUUAGAGAACCCCCUACCCCCUCUUUACUUCAUUUGGAAAAAACAUAAUUGAUCAAUAAGGAUAUAUAUAUAAAAUCGAUGUCAAUACACAAUACUUGCAGCAAUUUUGACCCCACCCCAAAGUAUUUAAAUUAACUUUUUGAUCCUUCAUUGAAUUUUUUAUGUCGUCCCUUACGAACAUAUGUAUUCCAUCCAUGGGUCAGAACAUCGUUUAAAACAUUCCCAAUUACAAAAAACAUUUGAGGUCUGAAUUACUGAUUAAAGUUACGUAUAUUUAGUGCUAUGUUAAACAUAUAGUAUUUGUUGUAGUUCCAUUUCUAAAGGAAUAAAAUGUUCUAUCAUAAUACAUACAUUAAUAUUUUGAUUUAUACCUAUUAUUUAUACAAAUUUGUUUCGUAAAAAUCGUAAUGACAUUGUUAAAACUCAAUUACAAGUAUGUUUUGAAAUAAUUUUUGUUGUCUGUUGUACCGAAUUCAACGUACAUGGCAAAAACUUAAGUUUUCAGUUUCAUCGAGGUAUAAUAGAUUAUUAUAUUAAUAAAUACAUAUUUGUUCAUAAUUUUCUAUAAAUUAUGUUACGUUUUGACGGACGUUGUUCUUCUCACUUGAAAAAUAUACAUCAUUUAAAACUGAAAACUACCCUCCUUUUUGUGAAGUCGCAUACGUGUGUUUUGAAAUAUCAUGUACGUUGGGUUUCCACUUUUUUGGUAAACAAUUGGAUAAGAAAGAAAAGAGAUUCAAGUUUUCGAUCAUUCUACAGUAACAAGGGUAUUUAAAUUUGAGUUUGAUAUUCAAUUUUGUUUUCCCUUGAAAACGACAUGUGACCUUUCAUCAUAAUUUCUGAAAAAACUGCACCAUAUUUUCUUUUGACGACCAGAAGAAUCUCAAAGUACACAUAUUUCCGAAUCCAAUGAUAUAUGAUAUAGCCGUAUACCUUUUAUGACGAUUAAAAUUUCAUAAUUCCAACUUUGCUCACCGUCCUAUUACUGAGUUUAGUCAUAAACUGUGAUUCGUAACAGUACAAAAACAAGUCUGCUAUUAAAGGCGCACAAUUAGUGACCAUGGGGAUACCUACAACCUGUCGAUAAACUUUGUUGCCGAAACGUACAUAAAUAUUAUCAAGGAGAAAAUUAACAGCUUCAAUCAUCUCAUCACACCUCCAGUAAGUAUAUCUAGCAUAUUUACCUUUCUCAUUAGAGAAGAAGGCUUUAAAUGAGUUGCAGCAAAUAUAUUUGCAUUCAGCUUUACCAAACGACCAUUUAACUAAAUAGGAAAAACUUUUGUUUCAAAAGAUAGUGUGGAAGUGUAGUGUAAAGAGUAGAAAAAUCAAAACUGUCAACAGAAUCAAAAGGACCAUCAAAAGCACGUAAUGUAUCUAAAACAUCCAAAGAUUUUUUUACACUCCAAAAAUGGUUUAUACCACUAGGUUCAUAUAUUUUAUUACAAUAGCUUAUGCUCUUUAAUAAUGUUCAUGAACUAGUUAAGAGCACUGACAGAUUAGUUGUAGAACACUUACUAGAGGCCGAGAUGAAACGAUAUUUAAAUGUUUUUUGUGUAGUUUAGGUAGCCAAUACAUAACAUGUUCAGAAGAAGCCUGAAGCUUUGAUGUGGUUGUGAUAUGUUUGUUUACCAUAUGACUCUCUGUGGAGCGGAUGGAUUUGAAUGUAGAUGAAUUUAAAAUUUCAUUCUUAAGAACGUCCGUGUAGUAUUUACGGCGUACCACCACCACAUUGUUGGCUGCUUUGUAUGACGGUACAAACACAAACCGCUUUGAAAGUUCUUGAAGUUUAUUUCUUAUUCUGGAAAUAGGUGUAUUAUGUACUCUAUUUAUUUACUUCUAAAUUAUUUUCAAAAUGUAAUAUCUUCUUAUCUACAACAUUCAUACAUUUAUUUAAAUAAGAAUCAAGAGAUUUUUUAUCAGAUUUUUCCCGUUUACACCACUUUUUACAAAACGAGGAAAGAGCAUCAUUGGUGACUUUACGACACUCUUUCCAAUCUAUUUUAGAUGGAGGACGAUAUUUUGGUCCUUUUUUCAAAAUUUGUUUAACCUCUCUGUCCUGGACGAUACUGAGGUCCCCUGUAAUACCAUGGCCAUAGGGAACAUAUAUAAACUUCGACGAUUCACACAAGUCAAUAUUAAAUAGUGAAAAGUUUGGUAAAAUGAAAGUUUAGAAUAAUACAAUCUAAAGUAUCAACGUCCUAGAUCUUGACCGCAAACAGCGUAUGUAGCUGUGAUGAGACAUGUCCUGAUUGGUUUCAAUUUAUACCAACUAACAUUUCAGUUGUUUAUUUUGUUUAUUUGUAUUCAUUUGCAUGUUAUAAUUAUGUUUUAGUUUUGUUUGAUUUUGUUCAGUUUUGUUUUAGUAAAAUAUUAUUUUUUACUUGUGUUUCUAUGAAUGUUGGCCAACUGCCAAUCCGAUUAUCCUACGUCUUUACAUGUAUCGAUCAUAGUGUUUAAAUCUAACCAAGGCAUGCUAGAGGAAAAGUUUAUCAUAAAAGAGGGACGAAAGAUACCAAAAGGGACAGUCAAACUCAUAAAUUUAAAACAAACUGACAACACCAUGGCUAAAAAUGAAAAAGACGAACAGAAAAACAAUAGCACACACGACACAACAUAGAAAACUAAAGAAUAAACAACAUGAACCCCAUAAAAGUACCUUUCGUUGAAAAAUACAUUUCUAAGAAUUAUAUUUCUAUUUGAAAAUAUAUUGAAACUUUAAUUUUGUUCAAUACAAAAACAGCUUGAAAUGAAAGUAUUUGAAUAUAUUUUACUCCCAAUUCAUAAAUUUAACUUUUUUCUUUCAGAAUAAAAACGGAAGACUUAUCACCGUGUCAACUCAAAAUAAUAAUCACGAGCUAAUUAUUGUUUUUGCGAAGUGACGAAAGCGACUGAUGAUGACUAUUUCAUAACUGUCUUUUUAUUGCGAUGUCCUCAUUUUGACAAGUAAACAUAUGUGUUUGAUUCAUACUCACUGGAUAUAUCGUUUCAACGUAUAUGAAAAGGAGUAACAUCGCUAGUGUAAAUGGUGAAGCAGAAGCCGUUCUACCUUGUUUUAUGAUUGACUUAGAAUAAGUGGAUUCCAACAUAUUAAUCACAUGAUAACA